GAAGAAUCAAGAAAUAUUCCACAGAUCAAUAAUUCUGAAACAAAGAAAAAUUUACAUCUGAAAUUGAAAUUACCAAGUGACCUAGUUACAUCAACCCAUCUUCCUUCCUCCACCUUAUUUGUCUCCUUUCUGUGAUCUGAAGUGUGUGCUGAGGAAUAAAACUUGUGGUAAGGAGGGCAGCCCAGCACACCACCCAGUGUAUGGGUGAAGGAGGCAGCAGUGUGGCCGGAGAGGAGAGCUGGGCUGGGAACACAGGAAGGUCCCCAGGACUCUGUGGUCAUCAGUAAGAGAGGGCCCACGUGUAUAUGCUGGUGAACAGAAAUCUCAACCUUUUCAAAGUCUGACAUUUAAGAGAAAAAACUGUGGCUGUUGGUUUGUGGAACAGACAGCUCCUUCUUUAUUGAGUCACUUCCACUUUCCUGCUACCGCUGCCUGUGAGCUGAAGGGGCUGAACCAUACACUCCUUUUUCUACAACCAGCUUGCAUUUUUUCUGCCCACAAUGAGCGGGGAAUCAAUGAAUUUCAGCGAUGUUUUCGACUCCAGUGAAGAUUAUUUUGUGUCAGUCAAUACUUCAUAUUACUCAGUUGAUUCUGAAACGUUACUGUGCUCCUUGCAGGAGGUCAGGCAGUUCUCCAGGCUAUUUGUACCGAUUGCCUACUCCUUGAUCUGUGUCUUUGGCCUCCUGGGGAAUAUUCUGGUGGUGAUCACCUUUGCCUUUUAUAAGAAGGCCAGGUCUAUGACAGAUGUCUAUCUCUUGAACAUGGCCAUUGCAGACAUCCUCUUUGUUCUUACUCUCCCAUUCUGGGCAGUGAGUCAUGCCACCGGUGUGUGGGUUUUCAGCAAUGCCACGUGCAAGUUGCUAAAAGGCAUCUAUGCCAUCAACUUUAACUGCGGGAUGCUGCUCCUGACUUGCAUUAGCAUGGACCGGUACAUCGCCAUUGUACAGGCGACUAAGUCAUUCCGGCUCCGAUCCAGAACACUACCGCGCAGCAAAAUCAUCUGCCUUGUUGUGUGGGGGCUGUCAGUCAUCAUCUCCAGCUCAACUUUUGUCUUCAACCAGAAAUACAACACCCAAGGCAGCGAUGUCUGUGAACCCAAGUACCAGACUGUCUCGGAGCCCAUCAGGUGGAAGCUGCUGAUGUUGGGGCUUGAGCUACUCUUUGGUUUCUUUAUCCCUUUGAUGUUCAUGAUAUUUUGUUACACGUUCAUUGUCAAAACCUUGGUGCAAGCUCAGAAUUCUAAAAGGCACAAAGCCAUCCGUGUAAUCAUAGCCGUGGUGCUUGUGUUUCUGGCUUGUCAGAUUCCUCAUAACAUGGUCCUGCUUGUGACGGCUGCAAAUUUGGGUAAAAUGAACCGAUCCUGCCAGAGCGAAAAGCUAAUUGGCUAUACGAAAACUGUCACAGAAGUCCUGGCUUUCCUGCACUGCUGCCUGAACCCUGUGCUCUAUGCUUUUAUUGGGCAGAAGUUCAGAAACUACUUUCUGAAGAUCUUGAAGGACCUGUGGUGUGUGAGAAGGAAGUACAAGUCCUCAGGCUUCUCCUGUGCCGGGAGGUACUCAGAAAACAUUUCUCGGCAGACCAGUGAGACCGCAGAUAACGACAAUGCGUCGUCCUUCACUAUGUGAUAGAAAGCUGAGUCUCCCUAAGGCAUGUGUGAAACAUACUCAUAGAUGUUAUGCAAAAAAAAGUCUAUGGCCAGGUGCAGACCUCACAGAGAGAUGACAGAGAAGGGUUGUGGUCCCCGGUGAGACAACGCCUGCCUAUCUAACCUGCACAGCCUUGAGCUCCAGCACCCACCCGUGCACAGCCUUGAGCUCCAGCACCCACCUGUGCACAGCCUUGAGCUCCAGCACCCACCCGUGGUGCAAGUUUCAGUAUCUGAUCCCAGUGGUUCACCUCCUGCCCUGACCCCUGCCCUGAGGUGUGGCAUCUCCUCCCUUCCCAGUUCUCUGACAGGGAAGUGGGGAAUUUCCCCAAGUCUGAGUGGCCUCCAUAUUCAAAGCAGAGACAUCCCCCUCUCAGCUGUGGACCUCGGGAUGGUGAUCUCAGCUGUGGCAGCAGAAAGCAGCUGUGAUAGCCCAGGGGAGGCCAGGCCCUAUUCUGCCCGCUAUUUGUAUAAACAGAGCAUUCAAGGCUCAUGACUUCAGCGGGGCUCUCUGUUGUCUUAAUCUCAUUCUUGGGGCGCAUUCUCCUGUAGGACACAGAAGGAGGUGGCAUUUUACAUUUACCAUUAGAUGAUUUGAGUCAUUGCAGCCUCACAGAGCACAGCUGCCCUGAUGCAUUCUACAUUCCGCUGGCUGCUCUGAGAAUCUGACGCACUCAGUCUUUGUGAUCUCACAGAAUAAAGAGGCUGCAGCAUUCGGAUGAAGGCCACCCUCGCUCUGGCGUGUUUGCAGAGCUUGGGGUGGUCUGCAUUCUACAUUCCGCUGGCUGCUCUGAGAAUCUGACGCACUCAGUCUUUGUGAUCUCACGGAAUAAAGAGGCUGCAGCAUUCGGACGAAGGCCACCCUCGCUCUGGUGUGUUUGCAGAGCUCAGGGUGGUUUGCUGUGACCUGAUUUCAUGCUUAUGACUCAGUAUGCACAGCUGCAAUCUUCUUCCUUGUGUUGCAUUUGCCAAUAGCAUGAUAUUCCUGAUGUCUUAUUUAGGUAAAUCCAUAUAAGAGUUAAGGCAGGAACGAUUUAUUUUCUACUUCUUGGCUGAUUCCUCUCUUCAUUGAGAGUCCAGGUGGACAGUCAGGGAUGAUGGGCAGAGUGCUGUUCUCCUCACCUUGAGGCUGUCCUCAGCACAAGGGAGCUGCUGUACCUCCUUCCAGCCCAUUUCCAUUCUAGACAACAAGAAGCAGGAUGCGGGAAGCAGGUGGCCUUAAAGACACAACUGGAAAGCUGUGGAAAUCAUUUCUGCUCCCAAGGUGGGAGCCUUCACUUAGUCACAUGGUUACAGCCAGGUGAAGGAAAGUCUGGGAUGCUCUUCAGUGGGUGGCCAUGUGUCCAUGUGCACGCAGUAAUCACAAACACACCAUGUAAGAAGGGGGAGAGAUACUGAGAAAACCACUUCCAUGGAGGAGAGGCAGCCGGACUCCUCUCUUUAACCAGAGGGGAGGGUCUGCAUCUCCCCAGCUGUAGGUAAGCGGUAGCCGAGGCAGCCCACUAGGCCAAGGCCUCUCCGGAGAUACGGCUGGCCCUGUGCCGCAAGGCUGGGGUCACCUGGGAUGCACCCUGUAUACAGGGGCCUCUUCUCCUGUAGCCCACUGAUGAUUACCACAGUGCCCACGGCCGGUCCAUCUACAUGUUCAGAAUACUGUAUUUAGAAUUAGUGUUAACAUUUGAAUAAGGUUUCAUUUUUCUGCCUAACAUUGAAAGAUGAACUGGAUUCUUGGAUUUCACAUAACAUUUUGGGGUCCCCUUUCUGAACCUAGAAUGUAAAUAGAUGAGCUAGCACUUCUCUUCACGCCAGUGGGGAGCAAAUGCGAUUCCUAAAGUCCUGGCUUCACCAGGAGCCGAGCUCCUGAGCCGUCCAGGGGUGCCUCUGCCCUGGACAGGGCGCUGCUGCCCUCUGGUGCGGGAGCUGCCUCCCAGCGCCUGCACCUGCUCCUGGAGACGCUCACCUUCCCGGCUGUUGCCCUAAUUCUGCAACAUGUCAAAGGACAAAUGUCACAUGUAUGUCUUAGCGGGGAAACUCUACAGUUUAUUUUGGAUAACAAGUAUGUGAAAUUAAUACAAUCUUAUACUAUCUUCUUGCACCCGUGGCAUAAAAUCUUCAGAAAAAUAUCACUGCACUAUUGCCGCUGUUCAUUUUUCUCCUUGUUGCUUUUAACAUUCACAAUAGUAGAUUGGCUCUUUCCUUUUUAUUUUAUUUUAUUUUAUUUUUUUGCUGUGUGAACAUAUACAUAGCAGAAUAAAUAUAUGUAUAAAUCAGGAAAUACAGCAUCUAUAUAUUUUUAUGGCAGAUAAUGUAGAAUGACUUUUAGGAUAUUAAGUUAAUAAAAAGAAGAUAUGU